rnacentral:rRNA from 1 species
AGAGUUUGAUCCUGGCUCAGGAUGAACGCUAGCGGCAGGCUUAACACAUGCAAGUCGAGGGGCAGCAUGUCCAGCAAUGGAUGAUGGCGACCGGCGGAAGGGUGCGUAACGCGUGAGCAACAUGCCCUAUACAGGGAGAUACACCAGGGAAACUUGGUCUAAUAUCCCAUAGCAUUCAUUGAAGGCAUCUUUAAUGAAUUAAAGCUUCGGUGGUAUAGGAUUGGCUCGCGUGACAUUAGCCAGAUGGUGAGGUAACGGCUCACCAUAGCAAUGAUGUCUAGGGGUUUUGAGAGGAAGGCCCCCCACACUGGGACUGAGACACGGCCCAGACUCCUACGGGAGGCAGCAGUGAGGAAUAUUGGACAAUGGAUGGAAAUCUGAUCCAGCCAUGCCGCGUGCAGGAAGACGGCCUUAUGGGUUGUAAACUGCUUUUAUACGGGAGCAAUAAGGGUUACGAGUAAUCCGAUGAGAGUACUGUAUGAAUAAGGAUCGGCUAACUCCGUGCCAGCAGCCGCGGUAAUACGGAGGAUCCGAGCGUUAUCCGGAAUUAUUGGGUUUAAAGGGUGCGUAGGCGGCCAUUUAAGUCAGCGGUGAAAUUUUGCAGCUUAACUGUAACAGUGCCGUUGAUACUGUUUGGCUAGGAUUUGGUUGUAGUGUGCGGAAUGUGUGGUGUAGCGGUGAAAUGCUUAGAUAUCACACAGAACACCGAUUGCGAAGGCAGCACACUAAGUCAUUAUUGACGCUGAGGCACGAAAGUGUGGGGAUCAAACAGGAUUAGAUACCCUGGUAGUCCACACUGU